UACGGGGGGGGCAAGCGUUGUUCGGAAUUAUUGGGCGUAAAGAGCUUGUAGGCGGUUUGUCGCGUCUGCUGUGAAAUUUCGGGGCUCAACCCCGAACUUGCAGUGGGUACGGGCAGACUAGAGUGUGGUAGGGGAGACUGGAAUUCCUGGUGUAGCGGUGAAAUGCGCAGAUAUCAGGAGGAACACCGAUGGCGAAGGCAGGUCUCUGGGCCACUACUGACGCUGAGAAGCGAAAGCAUGGGGAGCGAACAGG
rnacentral:rRNA from 1 species